AUUGAACGCUGGCGGCAGGCCUAACACAUGCAAGUCGAGCGGAUGAGUGGAGCUUGCUCCAUGAUUCAGCGGCGGACGGGUGCGUAAUGCCUAGGAAUCUGCUUGGUAGUGGGGGACAACGUUUCGAAAGGACCGCCAAUACCGCAUACGUCCUACGGGAGAAAGUGGGGGAUAUUCGGACCUCACGCUAUCAGAUGAGCCUAGGUCGGAUUAGCUAGUUGGUGAGGUAAAGGCUCACCAAGGCGACGAUCCGUAACUGGUCUGAGAGGAUGAUCAGUCACACUGGAACUGAGACACGGUCCAGACUCCUACGGGAGGCAGCAGUGGGGAAUAUUGGACAAUGGGCGAAAGCCUGAUCCAGCCAUGCCGCGUGUGUGAAGAAGGUCUUCGGAUUGUAAAGCACUUUAAGUUGGGAGGAAGGGCAGUAAGUUAAUACCUUGCUGUUUUGACGUUACCAACAGAAUAAGCACCGGCUAACUUCGUGCCAGCCGCCGCGGUAAGAC
rnacentral:rRNA from 1 species